UACGAAGGGUGCAAACGUUGCUCGGAAUUAUUGGGCGUAAAGCGCACGUAGGCGGCUUGGCAAGUCGGAUGUGAAAUCCCUCGGCUCAACCAAGGAAGUGCAUCCGAAACUGCCGAGCUUGAGUACUUAAGAGGAUCGCGGAAUUCCCGGUGUAGAGGUGAAAUUCGUAGAUAUCGGGAGGAACACCAGUGGCGAAGGCGGCGAUCUGGGAAGAUACUGACGCUGAGGUGCGAAAGCGUGGGGAGCAAACUGG
rnacentral:rRNA from 1 species